rnacentral:rRNA from 1 species
UACAGAGGUCUCAAGCGUUGUUCGGAUUCAUUAGGCGUAAAGGGUGCGUAGGCGGCGCGGUAAGUCGGGUGUGAAAUCUCGGAGCUUAACUCCGAAACUGCAUUCGAUACUGCGGUGCUUGAGGACUGGAGAGGAGACUGGAAUUCAUGGUGUAGCAGUGAAAUGCGUAGAGAUCAUGAGGAAGACCAGUGGCGAAGGCGGGUCUCUGGACAGUUCCUGACACUGAGACACGAAGGCCAGGGGAGCAAACGGG